UACGUAGGGGGCGAGCGUUGUCCGGAUUUAUUGGGCGUAAAGGGUGCGUAGGCGGUCGGGUAAGUCUGAUGUGAAAUCUCACAGCUUAACUGUGAAACUGCAUUGGAUACUAUCCGGCUAGAGGAAUGGAGGGGAGACUGGAAUACUUGGUGUAGCAGUGAAAUGCGUAGAUAUCAAGUGGAACACCAGUGGCGAAGGCGAGUCUCUGGACAUUUCCUGACGCUGAGGCACGAAAGCCAGGGGAGCAAACGGG
rnacentral:rRNA from 1 species